UACGGAGGAUGCGAGCGUUAUCCGGAUUUAUUGGGUUUAAAGGGUGCGUAGGCGGAGUGCCAAGUCAGCGGUAAAAAUUCGGGGCUCAACCCCGUCGUGCCGUUGAAACUGGCGCCCUUGAGUGGGCGAGAAGUAUGCGGAAUGCGUGGUGUAGCGGUGAAACGCAUAGAUAUCACGCAGAACCCCGAUUGCGAAGGCAGCAUACCGGCGCCCGACUGACGCUGAAGCACGAAAGCGUGGGUAUCGAACAGG
rnacentral:rRNA from 1 species